CAAUGGCUCAUAGAAACCCAGUCGUUCAAACCUUUCAGUUUGACCCAGAAUCGGAUCCGGAUUACGAAUCACCUGAAGAAGUUGGUUCUCAGCGGCUACAGCAGGACGUCUCUGAAUGGUGCCGUUGUGGAAAAUGUGCGACCAUGCCCACAGAAGAGGAGAAUAUUUGCUGCAUGGAGAUACCGCAGGUUACUAGAAGACUACGGGAGGUCGAACUACAUCCAACGUGUAUGGUUGACCAUCCUGGAUUGGAGCCGGUCUGCCUAAAUGUUUACUCUAUUCAGAAUGCCAGCCAAAUAUAUAGAGCCGACUAUGGUCCUCUAAAUUUGAGAAGAAUACACAAUCGCUACAGGUAUCUCUCCUAUCGUUCCUUUGUGAGCUGGUGCUGGGGCCACCUGGGACGCCGUAUCCGGGUUGUCAUUCCAGCUUGUGUGGUCCUGCGUAUCCGCUCCGAGUUUCCUGCUGAGGAAGGCCACUAUGUUGGUUUUAAACAUCCCCCCGUUUGAACCUUGACACAAGGCUGCUGAUGACCGCCUCCUUGUCAGGCUUCUCAUACUGUGCCGUUAGGGGCUCUGGAACAGGGAUCUCCAACAGGGCCUCGGUGUAAGGCGUAGGGUUGGGAAAGACUUCCUCAAAAAUUACAUCCAUGAUUUCAUCAACGUAACCUGUAUCGUAAAACAUGUUUUCUUUACAAAUUGGUUGGGUCUUGUGUUACUGUGUUUUUGUAUUUAUUUGAUUUUUCAUCAAGAGAAAAACAUUUUAGAAAUCCAAAAUGUGUGUCGUUUGAAUUUAUUUGAACCCUUACCAAAGGUCUGCUGUGUUUUUUGUGGUUUAGCUCUGCACUCUCCCUUCCUAGCCUUUGCAAAGGACAUUUUAUAAAUCGGUACUCCUUCCUUUGUUUCGGCCUGUGGUCUGUCCACAUUGUGAUUUGAAUGCAUAGCAGCCAGGUAGAGUCUGGAAGUACAAGACAAAACAUGUUAAUAUUGACAGAUAUUUUAGGCUACAAUUCCAAAAAGUAUUUAGUAAACAAACUUUCUUUAACCUGCACAGCAUUCCAAUAAAGGGAAAGACAACAUUUUUGGGGGCAAAACGAAGAAUAACCGCAUGGAAAGCCUCCAAAGAUGAAGUUUGGUGGUGGGGGCUCAGUUUUGCAACAUCCUUCAGCGCCCUUUUAUUGGUCAGCAACUUCUCCAACUUGGAGAAAGUUGGAGUUGCUGCAGACAAUAAGAAAAUAUGAUAUUAGAAAACCAUUACCCAUACAGUAAAGAAUACUACAACCAUGUCCUCUGGUAAAUUUCUGAA